AAGUAAGUCCAGUGAAAUAACUUCAAAUGUUAUCUGUAAAACAAUUUGAACAGAUAACACCUGAAGUUAUUUCACUGGACUAAAUU